UGACGAGUUUGAUCCUGGCUCAGGAUGAACGCUAGCGGCAGGCUUAACACAUGCAAGUCGAGGGGUAUAGUUCUUCGGAGCUAGAGACCGGCGCACGGGUGCGUAACGCGUAUGCAAUCUACCUUUUACAGAGGGAUAGCCCAGAGAAAUUUGGAUUAAUACCUCAUAGUAUGUGAGAAUCGCAUGGUUUUUCACUAUUAAAGUCAACAACGGUAAAAGAUGAGCAUGCGUCCCA
rnacentral:rRNA from 1 species